CUCCUGCGGCGGUGACCAGCUCGGGUACCUCGCCACGCCUAUAUAUAGGCCAUCUCGAGCCCCUCCUUGCAUUAACAGCGGCCUCAUUGCUAUCCCACACCAUCCCUAGCCUCUCGGCGGAGCUCCAGGAGCUCUCCUCGCUCGUCUCUUCCACCACGGCCGCCGGUCGGCUCCACCUAAAUUUCGGUGAGCCACGCCUCCUCCCUCCGUUACAGCACCACGCGUAGCCUCCCCACUACCCACCAAGCCUCCCACUCCCCUCAACUAGUUGCCGGAGUGGCUGUGGUCGCCGUCCCCAAGAUCGUCCGCCGCCUCCCCUGCUCCCUGUUGCCACGGGCCACGGCCACCCUGCCCUUCCCCUUGCGUGGCUGCUGCACCAGGCGGGUGCGGCACCUUCAUCCGAGGCUGCCAGUGCCCCUACCUCGGCCGGAGAUGGCUUGAGCCGCUGGGGCCAGCGCCGACGUGCGUUCGGCCUCGCCUCUUCUGUUCCUCGUCGGGAGAAAGAAGAAGACAGGGGAUAGAAGGAGUCAAAACCCGGGCCCCACCCCCCAGGGACCUGUUUGUGGAGAAAUCUUUACAGAUUAGUCCCUGGACUUCCACCUCUCGUAUCUUCGCGACCAUAAUUCCGAUUAAGCCCCCUUCGAGAGAGAAACUUUUUCAGUGAUUCGUUCCGCGAGCUUUCCGCACUUCUCCCCGGUGGUUUCUUCAUCCCCAGGCAAGCCACGAUAACCACUUGCAUGAUUGCAUGCAGUGGCCAUGGUUUUCUACUUGAACAUUUAAUAACUAUCAGUUUGGUUUGCUACUGUUAUCGGUGUUAGUAAUGUUUAUAGUUUCAUGUUCAUCUUCUUGCUAUGUUCGGAUGCACCUGGUCAUCUUGUAUUCUUGCUAGUAUUACUUUCGUAUGUCGUGCUUGGUAGUAGUAGUUCAUGUUGGUGGUAGUGAUGCUCAUCUGUUGCAUGUUGGAUAUCUGUUAUCAUUAUCGUUGAUAUGCAUGUUCUGUUGCACCUAGUUGGUUACAUGCUUACUUGGUAGUAUUAUUGACAUGUUCUUGCUUGGUAUUUAUUGUUGAUGUUAGUGGUCAUGUUAUGCUAUGAAUAGUGUUAUGCUUGUGAUAUUCAUGCUCGUCAGUAUACCCUGCUCAUUCGGAUAUAUGAUUUAUUGUUAUUGAUAUGCCCAAUGAUUAUGUUGCACCCCAUGCUCAUGUGGAUAUCAUGCUAAUGCAUUGUAAUCGCAUCAUGUUAUUUUAUUAUGCUUUUUGUUUUAAUUAAUAAAAGUUGUAGUGGGGGUUUUACCCUACUGUUUAUAGUCAUGUUAUUUUAUUAUGGCUCAGCUUAUUGGAUGAUCUUUUCUCCUAAUUGAUUAUGUAUAUAAUUGUUUACUAAGGUGUACAAAUGUUAUAUGUAUUCACUUAUGUAAUUAGAUGUUUAAUUUGGUUACGCAAUCAUGUUCUUAUAAGUAUACAUGUUGUUGUUCUAUUAAAGAGCAUAGAUUUUGUGCAGACAUAGCAAAUCACAUCGCAUGCGAUUAAACUACGGGACCCGUCGGUGAUGAUUUCAGCAAUCACAGACAAUUGUUUACCAACAAGCCUUUGCCAACAAUACAUACAACUUAUUAGCAGGAUUCGUCUAUGUUAUUAUCGGUCUUCUCACAUAAUUCGGAUUACUGACCUGUUUGUCGGAUAUCACACAUGUUGUUAAGUCAAAUCAUUUGUGUUCCGUCUGGAUCAUUGCAAACAGUUCAUCCGAGUGACUUGUAUGCCGUCUAUCGCACAUAUCUGGACCUGGAUAACCGUUUGUGUUUUUUGGCUCAUCACAAAUAGUUCGUAUGGAUCAAAUAUAUGCCAUGUUUCGCACACGCAACUCUUAUCUAAAUCAUGCUUGAUGGAUCCGCCAUCACACACAGUUCAUUUUAUUGGUGACAAUUUUAUUACAAUAUCGUUUGUGAUUCAUGCAUCGCACAUAUUUUGGUCGAAUGGUCCCUUAUACAUGUGUCAUCUUAGGACAUUGCUGCAGUAGUGACCCGAGAUCCACCAGUCUUAGCACCGACAUCGAGCACAUUCAACAUUUUAUGAACAGCAGGCGCGGCGCUACCAGAUCGGGAGAUCCGAGCAAAGGCGUACAAUGUCAGAGACCUGGUCUUACGAUACCAUCCAGACAAGUCAGAUCAUCAUAAACUAUCGGUAAAAUGGGGCAGGUCGUUCAUCAUCAACAAGGUGCUCACUGGAGGGGCAUAUCGUAUUUGGAACACUAGGAUAAUCGCCUGGAGCCGCACCCAUGGAACGCUGCCCGGCUGUGCCAUUUUCAUGAUUAAGAGGAUCUUUUGCUUUUAUUUUUCUCGUACUUAAAAACUUAGUUGAAAGGUACUUUUUGAAUAAAUAUUAGCAUC